GAUGAACGCUGGCGGCGUGCUUAACACAUGCAAGUCGAACGGUGAACGAGGGAGCUUGCUCCCUCCGGAUCAGUGGCGAACGGGUGAGUAACACGUGAGCAAUCUGCCCUGGACUCUGGGAUAAGCGUUGGAAACGACGUCUAAUACCGGAUACGAGGCGUGGGGGCAUCCCCAACGCCUGGAAAGAACUUCGGUCCAGGAUGAGCUCGCGGCCUAUCAGCUAGUUGGUGAGGUAACGGCUCACCAGGGCGACGACGGGUAGCCGGCCUGGGAGGGUGACCGGCCACACUGGGACUGAGACACGGCCCAGACUCCUACGGGAGGCAGCAGUGGGGAAUAUUGCACAAUGGGCGCAAGCCUGAUGCAGCAACGCCGCGUGAGGGACGACGGCCUUCGGGUUGUAAACCUCUUUUAGCAGGGAAGAAGCGAAAGUGACGGUACCUGCAGAAAAAGCACCGGCUAACUACGUGCCAGCAGCCGCCGUAACAC
rnacentral:rRNA from 1 species